GGCACCUGAAUGCACCAUGGAAGCCGCGCAGGUUUGAGAGUUGCUGUCGUCACACGGACCUCCAUGUUCAACUCACAGUUCGUCUUUAAACGGCCAUCGGGAGCCGGAAUCCGUUCCAUCAAACACCGGGGACACUCUGGACAGACGAGUGACUUCCUGCUACUUGUGUGCCUCUCUCUCACCGCCUGAAAGAGAACGGUCAUCCCACGGUUCACAGAAUUGUUUAGGGCGACGUCGCUGCUGGAGCCCAUGUUUGAGGAUUGUCGACAGAAUUGUCCAGAA